rnacentral:lncRNA from 1 species
UAAAGUUAGAAGAUAGCGUAUCGAAAAAUAGCUUCAUAAUAAUAUACUUUUGUUAUACUUUUUAAAUAUAUCAGAACAGAAAAAAGGUAAAUCGGUAUUUUUGAGACAUGUUCAAAAAGUUAUUCUGAUUGGGGGAUUAAUAUUCUUGACUUCUGAUUUCAACCAGCUGCUUGACUGCAUUCAUGAUAAGUCCUUAGCGUCGUGUGUGAUAUGGUUCCUCCUCUACCGUCAAACUGGUUUCAAAUACAACUGAGUUACAGUAUUCGACAUAUUGGCAGGGUUCCAUAAGAGAAGAGCCGAGUAGAAAUUACCUCAAAUGGAAAAUGCAAAUUGAAUGAUUAGAUUAUAUCCAUUGCUUGUUGCCUGUGAAAUACUCCCUCCGUCUCAAAUUAUA